UUGUCCUACGGGACGCAGCAGUGGGGAAUAUUGCACAAUGGGGGAAACCCUGAUGCAGCGACGCCGCGUGAGUGAAGAAGUAUUUCGGUAUGUAAAGCUCUUUCAGCAGGGAAGAAAAUGACGGUACCUGACUAAGAAGCCCCGGCUAACUACGUGCCAGCAGCCGCGGUAAUACGUAGGGGGCAAGCGUUAUCCGGAUUUACUGGGUGUAAAGGGAGCGAAGACGGUGAUGCAAGUCAGAAGUGAAAGCCCGCGGCUCAACUGCGGGACUGCUUUCGAAACUGUAUAACU
rnacentral:rRNA from 1 species